CCCGGGUUCAGAAUGCAGGUAAGCAUACAAAGGAAAACUGAAAACUGUAUAAAAGGCAUUAUAUUGCUAGUGUGUAUACAGGUCUGCACAACCGUUUCUGCCCAGCAAUGUAACAUCAGGUUUAAAAUGGGGACAUGCCCUUUGACCUUGCAAGUCCCAUGCUAUCAGUUUAUCCUAAGAAGUUUCACCCCAGGCCAGGUGUGGUGGCUCAUGCUUGUAAUCCCACCACUUUGGAAGGCCGAAGCAGACAGAUCCCUUAAGCCGACGAGUUCAAGACCAGCCUGGACAACAUGGUGAAACCCCAUCGCUACAAAAAAUAGAAAAAUUAGCCAGGCUUGGUGGCAUGCGCCUGUAGUCUCAGCUCCUCAGGUGGCUGAAGUGGGAGGAUAGCUUCAGCCUGGGAGGUCGAGGUUGCAGUGAGCUGAGAUCAUGCCACUGCACUCCAGCCUGGGUGACAAACAGUUAAAGCCCUGUCUCCCCCCACAACAAAAAAAGGAUGAGGAGGAGGCUCACCCUAGUCACCUAUAUAAGUGUACCUUGAACACAGCAUAAAUGUCAUACGCAAAAUUUAACGAGUUUUGCCAAAAUUAUCACCCAGAAAGUCACCUUACACCUGAGCUCUUACAAAGUCUUCCAAUUACAGAGCAUUCUCUCAUGAAAACAUUUGAUUCUGAUCAAAGCACUGAUUAGGGAAAAAUGUUACCUUGAAACAAUUUCUAUCAGUCUUAGUUCUGUCCUUUAUAGGAGGUUAACUGAAGGAUUCCAUAAAAAUGGAGGCAAAGAAAUUUAACAGAUUUGGUCAUGAUACAUAGGAGCAAAAUCUCACAUUUUCAACUGCUGCAUGUCCGCAUAAACAAGCCCUCUAAAGAUACCUUUUUUUUUUCUUUUGAGACAAGGUCUUGGUCUGUCGCCCAGACUGAAGUACAGUGGUAAAAUCACAGCUCACUGCAGGCGCACCCUCCCAAGCUCAAGCAAUCCUCCCAACUGAGUCCCCUAAGUAGCUAGGAUUACAGGUGUGUGCCACCACGCCCAGCUGAUUAUUUUAUUUUUGUAGACAUGGGGGUCUCACUAUGUUGCCCAGGCUGAUCUCAAACUCCUGAGCUCAAGCAAUCCUCCUGCCUUGGCCUCUCAAAGUGCUGGGAUUACAGGUGUGAGCCACUGUGCCCGGCCCCAUUUUUUAAAUAAUAAAGUAAGUUACAUUGCAGAGGAAAGAAACAUAUCCAAAGAAAACUGGUCAGACAUGGUGGUACUUUGGGAGGCCAAGGUGAGAUGAUCACUUGAGGCCAGGAGUUCGAGACCAACCUGGGCAAUGUGGUAAGAUGCCAUCUCUUCAAAAAAAUAAAAAUAAAUUAAAAAUUAGCUGGUGUGGCCAGGAGUGGUGGCUCACGCCUAUAAACCCAGCACUUUGGGAGGCAGAGGGUGGUGGAUCACUUGAGGUCAGGAGUUUGAGACCAGCCUGACCAACAUGGUGAAACUUUGUCUCUACUAGAAAUACAAAAAAUUAGCCAGGUGUGCUGGUGUGUGUCUGUAAUCCCAGCUACUUGGGAGGCUGGGGCAGGAAAACGGCUUGAACCCAGGAGGCGGAGGUUGCAGUGAACUGAGAAUGCACCACUGCACUCCAGCCCGGGCAACAGAUAGAGUGAGACUCCACCUCAAUAAAAAAAUUUUUAAAAAAAGCUUAAUUAAAAAAUUUUUUUUUUUUUAAUUAGCUGGUGACGGUGUGCAUCUACAGUCCCAGCUACUCUGGAGAGUGAGGAGAGGAUCACCUCACAGCCUAGGAGUUCGAGGCUGCACUAAGCCAUGAUCGUGCCCACUGCACUCCAGCCUGGGUAACAGAAUGAGACUCUCUUAAAAAUAAAAUACAUAAAAUAUAAAUUUCAUUCCCCAAUAAUCUUAAAUAUAAAAAUAUAACUCAUUUUUAUACAUUGACCUGGUAUCCUGUGAUCUUAUGAAAUUCUUUAUUUUGAAGAUUUCUUAAGACUUUUUACAUACAAAAUCCUGUCUUAAGCAAACAUUGUUUUGUUUUUUAUUUUAUUUUUUUGGAGACAGGGUUUCCCUCUGUCACCCAGGCUGGAGUUCUUUGAUAUCAGCUCACUGCAGCCUCGACUUCCCAGACUCAAGGGAUCCUCCUGCCUCAUCCUGCCAAGUAGCUGGGACUACAGGCACACACUACCAUGCCUGGCUAAUUUCUGUAUUUUUACUACAGUCAGGGUUUCAGCACAUUGCCCAGGCUGGUCUCGAACUCCUGGGCUCAAGAGAUCCACCUACCUAAGCCCCCAAAGUGCUGGGAUUACAGGCAUGCGCCACCACGCAAGGGGGUUUAUGGUUUUUCUCAGCAUUUUGAAAGAUGUUUCAUUGUGUUGUUUCUGUUAAGAAGUCAGCAGUCAUUUUUAUCUUUGCUCCUCUACAAGUAAAGUGUCUUUUUUUCUGGCAAUUUUUAAGAUGUUAUUUAUUACUUGUUUCUAGCAACUUGAUCAUGAUGUGGCUUGGUGUGGUUUUGUGUUUAUCAGAUUUAAGAUUAUGAGUUUUUGGGAUCUGUGAAUUAUUUUUCACCAACUUUAGAAAUUUUGAGAUUAUCUUUUUAUAUUUCUACUGUUUCUCUUCUCUCCCUCCUCCUGUAAUUCCAAUUACACAUACAGUAGACUAGUUGAUAAUGCCUCACAGAUCACUGAAGCAUUUUUAUUCUGGCUUUUUCCCACCCUGUCUGUUUAAGCCUAGAUAAUUUCUAUUGCCGUAUCUUGUAAUUCAAUGUUCGUUUCUUGUGAACUGUCUAAUCUUCAAUGAGGCCUAUCCAGUAAAAUAUUCAUUGCUAAGAUGGUAUUUUUUGGUUUCACUUGUUUUUUUUCAUAGCUUAAAUUUCUCUCAUUAUGUUUAUGUUUCCGAAACUUCAAGUCCCUGCACAUAUAAUUACUAUUUUUUUAUGUUUUUGAGAGUGACAGGAUCUCACUUUGUUGCCCAGGCUCAGACUGAUCACAAACUCCUGGCCUCAAGUGGUUCCUCUUGGCCCAGCCUAUAAUCACUUUUUUCUUUUUUUUUUUCCCGAACAUUCAUAUCAUUAUAUAAUCACUUUUUAAAGUCCUUGUUUAUUAAUUUAAAUAUCUUUAUUAUUUUGGGGUCUGUUGCAGUGACUGACUUUUCUCCUGGCAAUGAGCCACCAUUUUCCUUUUCCUAUAUCUAGUACUUUUUUAAUCGGAUGCUGAACGUUGUAGAUGUGUCUAGAUUUUGCUCUCUUCCUUUGUUCUAGCAGGCAGUUAAUCAGCUUGUAGGUCAGCUUGAUCCUUUCAAGACUUGUUUUUAAGUUUUGUUAGUAUUGGUCUAGAAAGGCCUUUGAGGGCUGAUUUAGCCCUAGAGUGUGGCCCUUCUGGGUUCCACACUAAUUAUGCCAGUAUUCAACUUGGUCGUUCCACUCCAACUAGUAGGAGUUGAACAUCUCCUACACAGAAAAACUCCAGUAGUUAUUCUUUGCAUAGCUCACGAAAUUUCCCUAAGAAGACACAGCUUUACAUUCAGCCAGUACUCACCAGACCCCAUAUCCCUAGAGCUGUUCCCUCCAUUCCAACACCCUUCCCAGCAUAUUCCAACUACCGCCCCAACUCUGAGCUCUGUCUUCUCAGCUCAGUAGGACCACCACUGCUGAACUUCGUUCUUCCUCUGAGUCAGUCCUAUAAGUGAUUCCAGGUAGACAGCUGGAAUCAUUCUAGGGCUCACCUUGUUUCCCAUUUUUAGGAAUUCCAAUCCUAUGCUACCUACCUUUCAUCCAAUGUUUGAACGUUUUUCAUAUGGAUUUUUUCCUCUUUUUCUAGUUGUUUUGGCAACAGAGCUAAUCCAGUACCAGUUAUUCUAUCAUGAACAAAAGUAUAUGUAUUUGGCUGGGCACGGUGGCUCAGCUCUUCUCUUCCCACCAAAAAUACUAACCAAUUCCGUUCCUUUGCUAUAACAAAAUUCAUCAAUUUCCCAAUAAUUAGCCAACAAAAAUAGAAAAGGAAAAAAAGUCUUCAUAUUUGUAUGUCUGUAUGCUUAACAUAUUGAGUUUUUACUGUUUUGAGUAAUGAAAUUACUACACUGUCAUAUUCAACUGCUAACUGAUCAGUUAGCCCUUCUCAAAGCAGAGUUAAUUAAAAGGAUAAGGCAACUGCUAACUGAUCAGUUAGCCCUUCUCAAAGCAGAGUUAAUUAAAAGGAUAACCUCAGUGUUAUUAUUUAUAAUUACAUGUAUCGGCUGAAAUGUGUAUUUUCAGCUAAAGAGAAACAAUUCCUAAACUACUCUAUAAAACCUAAGCAAUUAGGCUGGGUGCGGUGGCUCCUACCUGCAAUCCCAACACUUUGGUAGGCCAAGGUGGGAGGAUAGCUUGAGCCCAAGAGUUCAAGACCAGCCUGGGCAACAAAGUGAGACUCCCCAUCUCUACAAAAAUUUUUUUUUUUUUUUG
rnacentral:lncRNA from 1 species